CCUUUUCAGACAGGCCUUUAGGAAUUCUAUAAAAACAUCAAAACAACAUAAUAAUAUCAACAGAUAAGCGCCUAAACAGUGA